rnacentral:lncRNA from 1 species
GACAGUUUGACUAUGAGCUCCUCCCGGAUUCAAGGUUCUAGAGUUUACUUGUUGGCUUGCCUUAGUUUGAACUGUGGCCUUUCAUCUUUUCUCAUCUCUCCUUGGGAAUGUGAGAGAAUAGUUGGAAGAGACGGUAUCGAGAAUUACUAACUAGGUCCAUUUCAAACAGGAAGUUUCCUUUAUCAUUCUCAUUAUUGUUGGUAUGAAAUAAUUCCAACACAUAUGAAAUAUUUCAAACACAUAAAGUACAGAGAAUAAUAAUUCAUGUUCACUAAGAUCUAACAAAUGUUAAUGCAUUAUAAAAAGUUUUACAUAGUUGUUUGAAGUCUUUUUUUUUUUUUCCUCCUAAAAUGUUACAGAGAGUGUUGGAAACCUGUGUUGUCCCUUCAACUGAUGUCAUGAAGUUCCUUUACUUCCAUUUUCCCACCUCCCUAAGGAAUCAUCACAGAGCGGCUCUGAGGAGGAAAGGGAGAUCAAGUCAGCUGAGCAAGAUACUGCACAUCAUGAUGCUAGACUGAGCGGCCACGUCCAGCUACUCUCGGGGCAUGCCAGCAGUCUUGCAGAGAAGUGUGCAGCCUCAAGGGGCCUGGGCAGAUCUCAGGUUAAUCUCCCAUGAGGAAAGCAGACUUCAAGCCAGUCACCAGUGGCAUAUCAAAAUAGUCAACUAUUCACAUAUCCUUUUGUGAUUGGGUAGCCUGGGCUGGACACACAUUUCACUUAGCCUUGUUGCAGUGGAGGUAGUCUUUUGUUUCUGUUUGCUUCCCUUACACAAGACCUCUGCCAGGAAAAGUCAGCCAAGUCUUCAAAGCAAAGUGUGCAAAGUGUGACUGGACAUAGGCAGUGGUGACUCUCUCACCUACAACAUGCAAAUCCAAGUUGCGCUCUACUUUAAUGAUCUUGCUCACUUCCAUUUCUUAUUUUUCCUGUCCCCAAGGCUAAUAAUAAAUAAAUAAAUAAAAUGGACAAACAAAAGCCCCAUGAC